AAAUCAAGCGCGAAAAGGGCGUUUGGUGGAUGCCUUGGCAGUAAGAGGCGAUGAAGGACGUGAUACUCUGCGAUAAGCCAUGGGGAGCUGAGAAUGAGCUUUGAUCCAUGGAUUUCCGAAUGGGGCAACCCACCUGAUACUCGGUUAUUGUUAGCCACGACGGGUCAAACCGGCGCGGGUUAUCAAUAAUCGGGUGAACCAGGUAUUUUUAGCCUGAAUAUAUAGGGUUAAAAAGGCAAACCCGGGGAACUGAAACAUCUAAGUACCCGGAGGAAAGGACAGCAAUUAGCGACUCCCCUAGUAGCGGCGAGCGAACGGGGAUCAGCCGAGCCGUGAGUGUGACCAGAACAGGUUGGAAAACCUGACCAUAGUGGGUGACAGUCCCGUAUGGGAAGCAUGAUCGGACGCAUUAAGUAGGGCGGGACACGUGAAAUCCUGUCUGAAGAUCGGAGGACCACCUUCGAAGGCUAAGUACUCCUUACUGACCGAUAGCGAACCAGUACCGUGAGGGAAAGGUGAAAAGCACCCCGACGAGGGGAGUGAAACAGUACCUGAAACCGAACGCCUACAAUCAGUCGGAGCCCCCUUGAGGGGUGACGGCGUACCUUUUGUAUAAUGGGUCAUCGACUUGGUCUUACGAGCAAGCUUAAGCCGGUAGGUGUAGGCGCAGCGAAAGCGAGUCUUAAUAGGGCGUUGAGUUCGUGGGAUCAGACCCGAAACCGAGUGAUCUAGGCAUGAUCAGGAUGAAGGCAAGGUAACACUUGCUGGAGGUCCGAACCCACACCUGUUGAAAAAGGUCGGGAUGAAUUGUGCCUAGGGGUGAAAGGCCAAUCAAACUCGGAGAUAGCUGGUUCUCCGCGAAAUCUAUUUAGGUAGAGCGUCAGACGAAUACCCCGGGGGGUAGAGCACUGGAUGGGUAAUGGGGCCCCACAGGCUUACUGAUCCUAACCAAACUCCGAAUACCCGGGAGUAAUAUCUGGCAGACACACGGCGGGUGCUAACGCCCGUCGUGAAGAGGGAAACAACCCUGACCUCCAGCUAAGGCCCCUAAUUCAUGGCUAAGUGGGAAAGCAGGUGGGACGACCAAAACAACCAGGAGGUUGGCUUAGAAGCAGCCAUCCUUUAAAGAUAGCGUAACAGCUCACUGGUCUAAACAAGUUGUCCUGCGGCGAAGAUGUAACGGGGCUCAAGCCAUGAGCCGAAGCUGAGGAUGCACAUAGUGCAUGGUAGCGGAGCGUAGUGUGACAUAACUCCAUGUGUCUUAUGUUUUACAGCGGCCCGAGGCGCUCUAGCAGCGCAGCGGUAGCGCAUAAAAUAGCGGACACAAGGAGUUUUCUGUGAAGCCGGGGCGUGAGCCAUCCGGUGGAGAGAUCACUAGUGAGAAUGAUGACGUGAGUAGCGACAAACAGGGUGAGAGACCCUGUCGCCGAAAGUCCAAGGGUUCCUGCUUAAAGCUAAUCUGAGCAGGGUAAGCCGACCCCUAAGGCGAGGCCGAAAGGCGUAGUCGAUGGGAACCAGGUUAAUAUUCCUGGGCCAUGUGGUGGUGACGGAUCUCGAGGGUUGUUCUUCCUUAUCGGAUUGGAAGGGCCGCUUAGAGGUUCCUGGAAAUAGCCCCACUGUAAGAUCGUACCCUAAACCGACACAGGUGGACUGGUAGAGAAUACCAAGGCGCUUGAGAGAACGAUGUUGAAGGAACUCGGCAAAAUACCUCCGUAAGUUCGCGAGAAGGAGGCCCCGUUGGUAGGCAACUAUUGGCGGGGGGCACAAACUAGGGGGUGGCGACUGUUUAUUAAAAACACAGGGCUCUGCGAAGUCGUAAGACGACGUAUAGGGUCUGACGCCUGCCCGGUGCCGGAAGGUUAAAAGGAGGGGUGAGAGCUCCGAAUUGAAGCCCCGGUAAACGGCGGCCGUAACUAUAACGGUCCUAAGGUAGCGAAAUUCCUUGUCGGGUAAGUUCCGACCUGCACGAAUGGCGUAACGACUUCCCCGCUGUCUCCAACAUCGACUCAGCGAAAUCGAAUUGCCUGUCAAGAUGCAGGCUUCCCGCGGUUAGACGGAAAGACCCCGUGCACCUUUACUAUAGCUUCGCACUGGCAUCAGGACUGCAAUGUGCAGGAUAGGUGGUAGGCUUUGAAGCAGGGACGCCAGUUUCUGUGGAGCCACCCUUGAGAUACCACCCUUUGCAUUCUUGAUGUCUAACCGCGGUCCGUUAUCCGGAUCCGGGACCAUGCGUGGUGGGUAGUUUGACUGGGGCGGUCGCCUCCUAAAGAGUAACGGAGGCGCGCGAAGGUUGGCUCAGAGCGGUCGGAAAUCGCUCGUUGAGUGCAAUGGCAGAAGCCAGCCUGACUGCGAGACUGACAAGUCGAGCAGAGUCGAAAGACGGCCAUAGUGAUCCGGUGGUCCCAAGUGGGAGGGCCAUCGCUCAACGGAUAAAAGGUACGCCGGGGAUAACAGGCUGAUGGUGCCCAAGAGUCCAUAUCGACGGCACCGUUUGGCACCUCGAUGUCGGCUCAUCUCAUCCUGGGGCUGGAGCAGGUCCCAAGGGUACGGCUGUUCGCCGUUUAAAGAGGUACGUGAGCUGGGUUUAGAACGUCGUGAGACAGUUCGGUCCCUAUCUGCCGUGGGUGUAGGAUACUUGAGAGGAGUUGCCCCUAGUACGAGAGGACCGGGGUGAACGAUCCACUGGUGGACCAGUUGUCAUGCCAAUGGCAGUGCUGGGUAGCUAUGAUCGGAAAGGAUAACCGCUGAAGGCAUCUAAGCGGGAAGCCCCCCUCAAAACAAGGUAUCCCUGAGAGCCGAGAUAGACCAUCUCGUCGAUAGGCCGGAGAUGUAAGCGCAGUAAUGCGUUCAGUUGACCGGUACUAAUUGCUCGAUAGGCUUGAUUUG
rnacentral:rRNA from 1 species